rnacentral:misc_RNA from 1 species
UUUCCGUAGGUGAACCUGCGGAAGGAUCAUUAUCGAAUUACUGAGGGUUGUUGCUGGGUGCCAAAGACACCAAGUGCACGCCUUCCUUCAUUCUCAAACCCCUGUGCACCUAUUGUAGGCUUGGUCGUAGGGCUGGCUUCGGUCGGUCUGAAAGCCUGGCCUAUGCUUUAACACACGCUUCAGUCUAUGAAUGUCAUUGCGGAUAACGCAUCGUAUACAACUUUCAGCAACGGAUCUCUUGGCUCUC